rnacentral:lncRNA from 1 species
CUGACGUAUGGUUGUAUCCUUUCCUGGUCAUCCCCAGUAGAGUUGAUUUACCUCUCCGUUGGUCUUGGUAAACGUUGAGUUUUUCCUAGUUGUCCGUUGGCAUCUAGUUGAGAUUUCGGAUCCUGGUCAUUAUCGUCCGAUUGUCUGGAUGUGCUUGUGCUUUUGAAGAGAAGACAGAAGAAUAAAAAAAAACAAAAGAAAGAAAAACAACAAAAUUUCCCAGCAGUGUGCAAAUUUCUACGGUUCUUGGUAUUCAAUCCCUGUUUACCCUGAAAGUCUGACAGCCGUUGCUCU